rnacentral:rRNA from 1 species
GACGGGGGGGGGCAAGCGUUUGUUCGGAAUUAUUGGGCGUAAAGCGCACGUAGGCGGUUCGUUAAGUCGGAUGUGAAAGCCCUCGGCUCAACUGAGGAAGUGCACCCGAAACUGGCGAGCUUGAGUACGAAAGAGGAUCGCGGAAUUCCCGGUGUAGAGGUGAAAUUCGUAGAUAUCGGGAGGAACACCGGUGGCGAAGGCGGCGAUCUGGGUCGAUACUGACGCUGAGGUGCGAAAGCGUGGGGGAGCAAACAGG